UACUCAUGAGUUCUAAUUGUGGUCAUUUUAUUUACAGUUUAUUCCGAUGCCUGUUCUGUAUGGUGUUUUCCUUUAUAUGGGAGUUUCCUCAUUAAAAGGAAUCCAGUUAUUUGACCGUAUAAAAUUAUUUGGAAUGCCUGCUAAGCAUCAGCCUGAUUUGAUAUACCUCCGUUAUGUGCCGCUCUGGAAGGUCCAUAUUUUCACAGUCAUUCAGCUUACUUGUUUGGUCCUUUUAUGGGUGAUAAAAGUUUCAGCUGCUGCAGUGGUUUUUCCCAUGAUGGUUCUUGCAUUAGUGUUUGUACGCAAACUCAUGGACCUGUGUUUCACGAAGAGAGAACUUAGUUGGCUUGAUGAUCUCAUGCCAGAAAGUAAGAAAAAGAAAGAAGAUGACAAAAAGAAAAAAGAGAAAGAGGAAGCUGAACGGAUGCUUCAAGACGACGAUGAUACUGUGCACCUUCCAUUUGAAGGGGGAAGUCUCUUGCAAAUUCCAGUCAAGGCCCUAAAAUAUAGUGUUGAUCCCUCAGUUGUUAACAUAUCAGAUGAAAUGGCCAAAACUGCACAGUGGAAGGCACUUUCCAUGAAUACUGAGAAUGCCAAAGUAACCAGAUCUAACAUGAGUCCUGAUAAACCUGUGAGUGUGAAAAUAAGUUUUGAAGAUGAACCAAGAAAGAAAUACGUGGAUGCUGAAACUUCAUUAUAGAAUUGAACCAAGAGGCAUUAUACAUAUAGAUAUAU
rnacentral:sRNA from 1 species